rnacentral:rRNA from 1 species
AGUGAACGCUGGCGGUAGGCCUAACACAUGCAAGUCGAACGGCAGCACAGUAAGAGCUUGCUCUUACGGGUGGCGAGUGGCGUACGGGUGAGGAAUACAUCGGAAUCUACUUUUUCGUGGGGGAUAACGUAGGGAAACUUACGCUAAUACCGCAUACGACCUACGGGUGAAAGCAGGGGAUCUUCGGACCUUGCGCGAUUGAAUGAGCCGGUGUCGGAUUAGCUAGUUGGCGGGGUAAAGGCCCACCAAGGCGACGAUCCGUAGCUGGUCUGAGAGGAUGAUCAGCAAAACUGGAAGGGAGACACGGUCCAGAGGACUACGGGAGGAAGCAGUGGGGAAUAUUGGACAAUGGGGGCAAGCAUGAUCCAGCAAGACCGCGUGGGUGAAGAAGGCCUUCGGGUUGUAAAGCCCGUUUGUUGGGAAAGAAAAGCAGCAGGUUAAGACCCCGCUGUUCUGACGGUACCCAAAGAAUAAGCACCGGCUAACUUCGUG